GGUUUGAUCCUGGCUCAGAACGAACGCUGGCGGCGUGCUUAACACAUGCAAGUCGAACGGGAUCCAGAGCUUGCUCUGGUGAGAGUGGCGCACGGGUGAGUAACGCGUGGAUAACCUGCCCUGGUAUCUGGAAUAACAUCUCGAAAGGGGUGCAAAUACCGGAUAAGCCUACGGAGCCUUCGGUCUCUGCAGGAAAAGGUGGCCUCUAUUUAUAAGCUACCGUAUCAGGAUGGGUCCGCGUACCAUUAGCUAGUUGGUAGGGUAAUGGCCUACCAAGGCUACGAUGGUUAGCUGGUCUGAGAGGAUGAUCAGCCACACUGGAACUGAGACACGGUCCAGACUCCUACGGGAGGCAGCAGUGGGGAAUUUUGCGCAAUGGGGGAAACCCUGACGCAGCAACGCCGCGUGAGUGAUGAAGGCUUUCGGGUCGUAAAGCUCUGUCAGAAGGGAAGAAAUGAGACGUGCUAAUAUCACGUUUUCUUGACGGUACCUUCAAAGGAAGCACCGGCUAACUCCGUGCCAGCAGCCGCGGUAAUAC
rnacentral:rRNA from 1 species